rnacentral:rRNA from 1 species
UACGUAGGGUGCAAGCGUUGUUCGGAAUCAUUGGGCGUAAAGCGCGUGUAGGUGGCUAGACAAGUCGGGUGUGAAAGCCCAGAGCUCAACUCUGGAAGUGCAUUCGAAACUAGCUGGCUAGAAGAUGGUAGAGGAAGGUGGAAUUCCAAGUGUAGAGGUGAAAUUCGUAGAUAUUUGGAGGAAUACCGGCGGCGAAGGCGGCCUUCUGGGCCAUUCUUGACACUGAGACGCGAAAGCGUGGGUAGCAAAC